CUAAUUUGGGAUUUUUUUUGGAACAUGUGCAGGUACCAGUAGUGCGUUUCAGUUCCCCGAGAAAAAUUCAGGGAAAAUUAGGGACAGCCUGCAAGCGCACUGUGAAGCCGUGUUCGGACCCCGAAAUGAGUAAGGACCCCUCACCCUAUUUCCUAUCACGGUAUUAAAGUUCAAAAUGAUAAAACGAUAUUUCUUGAAUUAACGAAUGUGUGAAAUUGCUUAAGGUGGCUAAUGGAGCCCGAGUCUAGUGUGAUUGGUGAUUUACUGUUAUUUGGCCUGUUUACAGCUUU
rnacentral:lncRNA from 1 species